rnacentral:rRNA from 1 species
AACGAACGCUGGCGGCAUGCCUAACACAUGCAAGUCGAACGAGACCUUCGGGUCUAGUGGCGCACGGGUGCGUAACGCGUGGGAACCUGCCCUUAGGUUCGGAAUAACUCCCCGAAAGGGGUGCUAAUACCGGAUAAUGUCUUCGGACCAAAGAUUUAUCGCCUUUGGAUGGGCCCGCGUUGGAUUAGCUAGUUGGUAGGGUAAAAGCCUACCAAGGCGACGAUCCAUAGCUGGUCUGAGAGGAUGAUCAGCCACACUGGGACUGAGACACGGCCCAGACUCCUACGGGAGGGAGCAGUGGGGAAUAUUGGACAAUGGGCGAAAGCCUGAUCCAGCAAUGCCGCGUGAGUGAUGAAGGCCUUAGUGUUGUAAAGCUCUUUUACCCGGGAUGAUAAUGACAGUACCGGGAGAAUAAGCUCCGGCUAACUCCGUG